rnacentral:rRNA from 1 species
GAUGAACGCUGGCGGCGUGCUUAACACAUGCAAGUCGAACGGAAAGGCCCAAGCUUGCUUGGGUACUCGAGUGGCGAACGGGUGAGUAACACGUGGGUGAUCUGCCCUGCACUUCGGGAUAUGCCUGGGAAACUGGGUCUAAUACCGGAUAGGACGAUGGUUUGGAUGCCAUUGUGGAAAGUUUUUUCGGUGUGGGAUGAGCUCGCGGCCUAUCAGCUUGUUGGUGGGGUAAUGGCCUACCAAGGCGUCGACGGGUAGCCGGCCUGAGAGGGUGUACGGCCACAUUGGGACUGAGAUACGGCCCAGACUCCUACGGGAGGCAGCAGUGGGGAAUAUUGCACAAUGGGCGCAAGCCUGAUGCAGCGACGCCGCGUGGGGGAUGACGGCCUUCGGGUUGUAAACUCCUUUCGCUAGGGACGAAGCGUUUUUGUGACGGUACCUGGAGAAGAAGCACCGGCUAACUACGUG